UCUCCGUUGGUGAACCAGCGGAGGGAUCAUUACCGAGUUUACAGCUCCCAAACCCCUGUGAACAUACCAUUUGUUACCUCGGCGGUGCCUGCUUCGGCAGCCCGCCAGAGGACCCAAACCCUUGAUUUUAUACAGUAUCUUCUGAGUAAAUGAUUAAAUAAAUCAAAACUUUCAACAACGGAUCUCUUGGUUCCG
rnacentral:misc_RNA from 1 species